AUUUACAGAGGCAGCUUUGCUUUAAGAUCAACACCAGGGCAAUUUGAGCAGGCAGGUCACCAAACCCUCAGGCAAAGUCAGAGUUUAAACGUGUUGUUUGUUAUGUUUUGCCCUCUGAGUCUGGUUAGUCUUAAUGAGCUAUGGCUUUCUAGCAAAAGCACUGAAGAUGGAUCCGUCCUAGGAACAAAUUUAAGUAGGGGACUCAAGGCGCAAAUGCCCACGUUCUCGUCCGGUCCGGCCACCUCCUCGCAGCCAUGUAGGGCAGCCAGCCCUGCGUUUCCCGCAUCCAGACAGACAGAACUUCAGGGUAGCUUAUCUCCACUUGUAAAAGCCUGCUUAAUGCUACUAAUAGCGUAAGUAAUUUUGCUGGAAAGCCUGGGGAGGAUUCUUCAAUUUAUUACCUAGUGAAUCAAUUCUAGCUUUAAUAGAAAGCCAUCGCCGUAGACUGCAAUGCACAAUGCGCAUAAAUCCUAGCAGGGUUGUGAUGCCAGGAUUCUGACAAAGAAAGAAAGACACACACACCCCCCCCUUUCUCCCAUGUUUCUGCUUGGAGUGUGGGGAAGGAGACUCCACUUGUAGCAGAAGCAGCCUCUGUUCUUCCGCCGGUGCCCUUGAGACUCGAGACGGCUGCGCAGGAACGGCGGGAGCGAAGCGGUUGCCGGCGCUGGGUUGCGCGCGCAGAAAGGCGCGGAGGAGAUGGGGCUGGUGACAGGCGCUGACGGAGAGCAGAGAGCAGCGUUCUGAACGCGGCUGCGAAAGGGAGAAAUGCCCUGUGCGUCUAGGAAAGUGGAUACUGCCUAUUGGGUGUCCCCGGUGCAUUUGUCCCUCAAACGUGAGGCCCGUCCUGCCGAAAGUUCAUUGGCGGCUUCUCCCGGGGGCCUUCUCAUCAGGCCGGGGAAAACGCAGAAUCAUUUUCCCUGAAGAAGCAAUUCUGACCAGAUGACCCAUGGCGUAUGGCAAACAAUGAAGACACUUGCCCAGACAGUUCAUUCUCCUGUCCGCUUUGUCAGCGUACCUUUCCAUGGUCAACUCCUGUCCCUGUCACACAGGAGACUCAGGAGGGCAGACUGCACCAUCUUCCUUUCAGAUAUGGCCUUGCCUUCUUGAAGAUUCUAGUACCUAUCCUCCUCUUCAAGCCCAUUGUCACCACGCAGUUUAAAGCACCCCCACCGCCAGCCCUUAACCUGUCUCGCUCACUGGCUGGAGGCCCCGACCGACGCCGGCACCCCCAGCACCGCGCGCCCACCGCGGACGCACGUCUCACAAUCGUGCCUCUGAAGGGGAACACCCCCAGCAACAAGUGCCCGCAGCCGACCUGAGAAGUGUUCAGGCUUGUACACCACCGUGGACGUGGCACUCACUGCCUGAAUCAGAAGUAAAAAGAUACCUGUCAACACUUGGGUUUUCUGUGGUCCUGGUUUUCUUGCCACAACUCUGGAAGUAGUUAAAUGGAAGAGCCAGGGGCUAAACGUGAGUUCCCCCAGUGCCAGGGGCAAGGCCACCACAAACGCAUCAGGAAACAGAAGUUUGUGUGAAGCCACCCCUGGCUGGUGAUUGGUAGCCCAACUUUGGCUAUCCUUGCCAAUGGACAAAUCAAGUGAAACACAAACUGUCAGAUUUAAAAAAAAGAAGACAAAAAUGAAUCCAAAGAACUAUGCUGAUACUCAGGUCUAUCAAAUCUGUGCUGAGUUUUUUAAUGCCAAUGAAUUGUUUUGAUAUAAUUAUGCAGCUAAAAUGCAUAUAUGUUAUUGAAAGCGAUCUGCAACUUAGAAGACGUUUCAUCUAAAAAGAUUUUUAGUGGUUAGUAUAAACAUUAGAAAAAUUGUACUGUAUUUCUGGAAGUACUCAUUCUGUUGAUUCUUUUAUCAACAGGAGAACCCCAAUAUUUAGGACCGUCUGGGUAACUCCUCUGGAGUUGAUGAGACUUCUAUUCUGAAACAUUUGCAGAACAUUAAGGAGAAUUAAGAGAGUAAUACAUAUUUUAAUAUUAAAAUGGCAUGGAUCCCAAGGACCUGAAUAAGAGUAGAAGUCACCUGGCGAAUCAAUUUCAAUGAAAUUCUAAUCUUUCUUUUGCAUGAAAUUUAGAUUUGGGCUUACUAUUCUCCGUCUAUUUUAACCGUUCUCCUGAAAAUACACAACACAGAUCUGGAGCCAGACAAUCCAUCAGAGGUAGCUCUGAGGGCAGAUUACCAUGACUUUUUUGGUAACAUUUGCAAGUUGGGGAAACUCAGCUCCCUUUUUCAGGCUUGGUAUACUUACGCUUUUCUGUUUUGAGGAAGAAGAAUGGAGGAUGAAGCAAUAUUUGAUGUGUAAUGAUGAAUAUUUGAGAACAAUUUGUUCACUCACUGAAAUAGCCCUGAUAUUUUAAAUUAUGGCUCUUUUUGAGAACACUUUAAUCUGCAAUUUUUUGUUGUGAAGCAUAUCAUUUUUACAAAGAGACUGUACAAAAUGUAUCUGAGUUUAAAGAAUCAUAAUGAACUUGCAUGGCAUUGAGAAACAGAACAUUACCAGUGUCCUUCUCUUACUUCCUGACCCUUCUCCCACAGAAGUAGCAACCAUCUUACAUUUUGUCUCGAUCAUUAUCUUUUCUUCAUAGUUUUAUCUCCUGUGUAUAGAUCUCUAAAGAAUAAAUUGUGCAUUUUCCUCUGUGACUUUCGUGUU
ensembl:lncRNA